CCAGGGCCUGGGCAGAGAGAGGUGGAGCUCGGAGUCCCCCCAGUCCUCCCGCGGGUGCUGGCGUCUGCAGCGCCAUCGGGACGGGAUCCACGGCGCAGCUCCCUCCUCCAGAGGCCGAAAGCUCAGCCUCCAGUUUCGUGCAGGGUGAUCACCUCUCCAGGGCAAUACAAGCACUUCCCAAGAGCAGCUGGUGAAGAUGGCGCAGAAGCAAGGACAAGGGUGCAGUGAAAAGUUUGGUGCAUCGAUCCAGCUUCCGGACACGUGAUCUUCUACCCUGCCCCACGGCAAGAAGAGUUUGGUGAUUUUGCUGCUCUGCUCUCUCAAGGGUGUUGCAGGCUGCGUAGCAGGGAGUGAAGCCCUUGUCGCUGCUCAUCAGACACUUUCCUACAGAAUUCUCCCUGCAGUGAUAAAAUUAGACUGGUGUUAGUGAGCUGCCAAGUAGAGCAGGUAACAUUGGACAAGAAUGGUUUCUGAGCUGCUGUUCACUAGCACGUGUUUCCCCUUUCCAGCGCAGUGCCGCCGCCCAAGAAAGGAUUUUUGUGGGUCAGCCAGAUGUGCUCCUGCCUCCCACUGAGGCUCUGAGAUGGAGCCGAGUUUGCAUUCCAGUUUAUUGCAGCAGAGGGUCACGGGAAAUUUCCUCAGCUAUCUCAGGCACAGAGCCAUGGAAGCAAGACAGCACGAAGACUGAACGUGUAAGAAGAUGUGGGGUGCAAUGGAGAACCUGGCAGGAGCAUCCGACGCACACGUGCACGAGUUUUGCUUUUUGCUUGGAUUGAAACUCAAAAGUUGUAAGGAAUUUGGGAAUGAGAUGGGACGUUUCAGAAGAAGAGGAAGGAGGAGAAGAAGUUGUUGUUACAGUGUUACAGUCCUGGCAAAAUCCUUUGUUCUAGCUAAUAAAAGAAGUUAGUUAAAAAAAAAAAUUAAAAAAAAAAAAAAAAGUGUUUUUUUUUCCUUGAAU